GGGGGGGAGCGAGCGUUGUUCGGAAUCACUGGGCGUAAAGGGCGCGUAGGCGGCCGGAUAAGUCGUGUCGUGAAAGACCCGGGGGGCUCAACUCCGUGUAUUGCAUGCGAUACUGCCCGGCUAGAGUAAGGUAGAGGCGAGUGGAAUUCCCGGUGUAGCGGUGGAAUGCGUAGAUAUUGGGAAGAACACCUGUGGCGAAGGCGGCUCGCUGGGCCUUUUCUGACGCUGAAGCGCGAAAGCGUCGGGGAGCAAACAGGAUUAGAUACCCUGGUAGUCCACGCCGUAAACGAUGGGCACUAGGCGUUGGGAGGAUUGACCCUCUCAGUGCCGUAGCUAACGCGUUAAGUGCCCCGCCUGGGGAGUACGGCCGCAAAGGCUG
rnacentral:rRNA from 1 species